rnacentral:sRNA from 1 species
ACUGCCAAGGAUGGCAGUAGUUCCACGCAGCAGCGAUGUUUUUGCACAGCAAAAACUCGCGUUCAAAAAUUGACAAGGAGGUCAAUUUUUGAACGUGU